GCUAGAAUGGGAGCUCCAUGAGAUCAGAGGCUGAGUCUGUCUCAGUUAUCCCCAUAGUAGCAAUGCCACUACAAGUUGUUGGAUGAGGAUGAGAUUCCUGGAGCCACUGCAGCUAUCUUUUGACUAUCCAUCCCCCUGGCUUCCUCCCCUCUGAUGGAUGGAUUGACGAGCUCAAUGGGCCAGGAGAGGACUCCAUAGCCAAGAAUCUGAGCCCUAUUAGGGGCUUCUCUGAAGCUAAUUGAAUACGAUUGUCAGCUGCUACUGAUAGAGGGGACGAGGAAGAACAGAACCACCUUUAACAAGGGAACUUUCAGGAGCUGAGAGAAAAACCAAAGGGUAAGAAAACCCUCUUGAAUUUCAAUGCAACAUGUU